rnacentral:rRNA from 1 species
GAUAGGUUAAGUUAAUAAGGGCGCAUGGUGGAUGCCUUGGCACUAGAAGGCGAUGAAGGACGUGACUAACUACGAUAUGCCUCGGUUAGCUGUAAGUAAGCUUACCCGGGGGUUUCCGAAUGGGGCAACCCGAUCUUAAUGAUCAUCAUCUUUUUGAAUUCAUAGAUUAGAUGAAGCAAACGCUGUGAACUGAAACAUCUAAGUAGCAGUAGGAAAGUAAAGAAAUUUCGAUUCCGUCAGUAGCGGCGAGCGAACGCGGAAGAGCCCAAACCUGGAUGCUUGCAUCCAGGGGUUGUAGGACUGAUGUUGAGUUACAAAGGUAUAAGAUAGCAGAAACAGUUGGGAAGCUGUUCCAAAGAGGGUGACAGGCCCGUAUGCGAAAUCUUGUACUCUCUAAUCAGGAUCCUGAGUACGGCCCAGCACGUGAAAUUGGGUCGGAAUCUGGGAGGACCAUCUCCCAAGGCUAAAUACUAACUAGUGACCGAUAGCGAACAAGUACCGUGAGGGAAAGGUGAAAAGAACCCCGGAAGGGGAGUGAAAUAGUUCUUGAAACCGUGUGCUUACAAGAAGUUCGAGGCCGUUAAUGGCUGAGAGCGUGCUUUUUGUAGAAUGAACCGGAGAGUUACGAUUGCGUGCAAGGUUAAGGUGCAAAGACUGGAGCCGUAGCGAAAGCGAGUCUUAAUAGGGCGAAUCAGUACGUAGUUGUAGACCCGAAACCGAGUGACCUAUCCAUGGUCAGGUUGAAGGUGGGGUAAUACCUACUGGAGGACCGAACAAGUG